AAUCAACGCUGGCGGCGUGCCUAACACAUGCAAGUCGAGCGGGAAAGGGGGCUUCGGCCCCUGAGUAUAGCGGCGGACGGGUGAGUAACACGUGGGUAAUUUGCCCUUGGGUGUGGAAUAACUCAGGGAAACUUGAGCUAAUACCGCAUGACAUCCCCUUCUCACAGGAGUUGGGGAUCAAAGCCGGGGACCCUUCGGGGCCUGGCGCCUGAGGAGAAGCCCGCGCCCGAUUAGCUAGUUGGUGAGGUAAUGGCUCACCAAGGCUUCGAUCGGUAGCCGGCCUGAGAGGGCGACCGGCCACACUGGGACUGAGACACGGCCCAGACUCCUACGGGAGGCAGCAGUGGGGAAUCUUGCGCAAUGGGCGAAAGCCUGACGCAGCGACGCCGCGUGAGGGAUGACGGCCU
rnacentral:rRNA from 1 species